AUUGAACGCUGGCGGCAUGCCUUACACAUGCAAGUCGAACGGUAACAGGUCUUCGGACGCUGACGAGUGGCGAACGGGUGAGUAAUACAUCGGAACGUGCCCAGUCGUGGGGGAUAACUACUCGAAAGAGUAGCUAAUACCGCAUACGAUCUGAGGAUGAAAGCGGGGGACCUUCGGGCCUCGCGCGAUUGGAGCGGCCGAUGGCAGAUUAGGUAGUUGGUGGGAUAAAAGCUUACCAAGCCGACGAUCCGUAGCUGGUCUGAGAGGACGACCAGCCACACUGGGACUGAGACACGGCCCAGACUCCUACGGGAGGCAGCAGUGGGGAAUUUUGGACAAUGGGCGAAAGCCUGAUCCAGCAAUGCCGCGUGCAGGAUGAAGGCCUUCGGGUUGUAAACUGCUUUUGUACGGAAAGAAAAAGCUCCUUCUAAUACAGGGGGCCCAUGACGGUACCGUAAGAAUAAGCACCGGCUAACUACGUGCCAGCCGCCGCGGUAAAAC
rnacentral:rRNA from 1 species